rnacentral:rRNA from 1 species
UACGUAGGGUGCGAGCGUUGUCCGGAAUUACUGGGCGUAAAGGGCGCGUAGGCGGAUAGUUCAGUCGGGGGUGAAAGCCCGGGGCUCAACCUCGGAACUGCCUUCGAUACUGGCUAUCUUGAGUACGGGAGAGGUGUGUGGAACUCCGAGUGUAGAGGUGAAAUUCGUAGAUAUUCGGAAGAACACCAGUGGCGAAGGCGACACACUGGCCCGUUACUGACGCUGAGGCGCGAAAGCGUGGGGAGCAAACAGG